rnacentral:rRNA from 1 species
CGGAGGGUGCAAGCGUUAAUCGGAAUUACUGGGCGUAAAGCGCGCGUAGGCGGUUUAAUAAGCGGAAGUGUGAAAUCCCCGGGGCUCAACCUGGGAACUGCAUUCCGAACUGUUAAGCUAGAGUAUGGUAGAGGGUGGCGGAAUUCCGAGUGUAGCGGUGAAAUGCGUAGAUAUUCGGAGGAACACCAGUGGCGAAGGCGGCCACCUGGACCAAUACUGACGCUGAGGCGCGGAAAGCGUGGGGAGCAAACAGGAUUAGAUACCCUGGUAGUCCACGCUGUAAACGAUGUCAACUAGCCGUUGGAGUCUUUAAGGCUUUAGUGGUGCAGCUAACGCGAUAAGUUGACCGCCUGGGGAGUACGGUCGCAAGAUUA